rnacentral:rRNA from 1 species
AGGACGAACGCUGGCGGCGUGCUUAACACAUGCAAGUCGAACGGUGAUCCGGUGCUUGCACCGGUGAUCAGUGGCGAACGGGUGAGUAACACGUGAGUAACCUGCCCCCGACUCUGGGAUAACCCCGGGAAAUCGGAGCUAAUACCGGAUACGAGACGCACAGGCAUCUGUUGCGUCUGGAAAGAAUUUCGGUCGGGAUGGACUCGCGGCCUAUCAGCUAGUUGGUGGGGUAAUGGGCCCACCAAGGCGACG